AACAGGAUUAGAUACCCUGGUAGUCCACGCUGUAAACGAUGUCGACUUGGAGGUUGUGCCCUUGAGGCGUGGCUUCCGGAGCUAACGCGUUAAGUCGACCGCCUGGGGAGUACGGCCGCAAGGUUAAAACUCAAAUGAAUUGACGGGGGCCCGCACAAGCGGUGGAGCAUGUGGUUUAAUUCGAUGCAACGCGAAGAACCUUACCUACUCUUGACAUCCAGAGAAUUUGCUAGAGAUAGCUUAGUGCCUUCGGGAACUCUGAGACAGGUGCUGCAUGGCUGUCGUCAGCUCGUGUUGUGAAAUGUUGGGUUAAGUCCCGCAACGAGCGCAACCCUUAUCCUUUGUUGCCAGCACGUAAUGGUGGGAACUCAAAGGAGACUGCCGGUGAUAAACCGGAGGAAGGUGGGGAUGACGUCAAGUCAUCAUGGCCCUUACGAGUAGGGCUACACGCGUGCUACAAUGGCAUAUACAAAGAGAAGCGAACUCGCGAGAGCAAGCGGACCUCAUAAAGUAUGUCGUAGUCCGGAUUGGAGUCUGCAACUCGACUCCAUGAAGUCGGAAUCGCUAGUAAUCGUAGAUCAGAAUGCUACGGUGAAUACGUUCCCGGGCCUUGUACACACCGCCCGUCACACCAUGGGAGUGGGUUGCAAAAGAAGUAGGUAGCUUAACCUUCGGGAGGGCGCUUACCACUUUGUGAUUCAUGACUGGGGUGAAGUCGUAACAAGGUAACC
rnacentral:rRNA from 1 species